rnacentral:lncRNA from 1 species
CAGAGGCAAGAGGGGAACCUUCCUACUUACAUCAAACCUCCCUGGCACUCAGCUCACAUCUGCUCGAGAGGGAACUCGUCUAUCGUGACCCCUUGUUUACAAAUGGAACAAGACGAGUCCUCAGUUAAUCAGCAACUUUAUUGUUGGUCAGCUUGGCUGUGAUUUCCGCGCUGGCCGCACCUGCCCGGGCCCGGGCCCCCGCGCAGCCCACCAAGGCCUCGCAUUCCCGUCCGCACGGCCAGCCAGGAUUCAUGAGUUGAGGAGAGGUUGCAUCCCCCAGAGACUUCCUGCAUUUUGCAGCCUGAGAAAGAAGAGGCUGAUGAAGAGAAGUUCGAUGAAGGAGGAGGAUGGCUCAUGGGACCCAGGUCCAAUCAAUUAUUUGGUGGAACUGAACCUUGGAGAAAGAGCUUUGAUUCAGAACUUCUACAAGAGGCCACACUUCGAGGUGAGAUUUCAAGGGCUCCAACUCAGGACCUCAUGUUUGUGUGCAGUUCAGUCAAGUAAGAAUAAAC